GUGUCGUGUCGUGUCGUGUCGUGUCGUGUCGUGUCGUGUCGUGUCGUGUCGUGUCGUGUCGUGUCGUGUCGUGUCGUGUCGUGUUCCUCCUCACCUGUUUGACGGCCAUGAGCGUGCCCGUGCCCACGUCCUGAGCCUGGUAGCAGGAGGAGAACGCGCCCAGGCCGAUCUGCUGGCCCUUCAGCCACUCGUGCCCUUCCGGUAGGGCUGCUUUGCUUUGGUAAGCCCAGGCAGCGUCUCGGGCGUCUAGAGGGAAAAAACCGCGAAAGGGGUUAAUGGGUUACAGGAAAGGGUUUAUUUAGAGUUUAGUUACAUAAACCUGAUGUCGACAGACAGAAGACAAUGGAGGUGCUGAAGAAGUGAGAAGGAGAUUAUCGUCAAGUUAAAUAUUAAGCUAAAUAAGGUUUACUCUGAACACACUGAAGAAAGAAAUAGUAUUGUGGUUUUAUGUAAUGUACGUACAUAUCUACAUAUCUAACAUGUACAUGUCUACAUAUCAGUGCAACUCAUUGGAAAACCAUUAGCAUCAGACUGGUGAGCGGAACUUACAUCCACCUGGAUGAUGAUGACAUCCUCUCCCUUGUCCACCUGCAGCUGGGGGAUGAUGGGAAGGGCGUCCUGCGACUCCGACAUUGCCAUGACGAUGGCCAGCGCCUCCUCUUCCUCUGCCUCCAUCUUCUCCUUGCACUUCUGGUGCUGGGUCACGUCGUCCGUGUAGGUGCCCCGGGUGGUGGUGCUGCCGCCACUGCUGCUGCUGGCGCUAGAGUCGCCCGCGGUGCCCCCCUGCUCGCCCGGGGACAGCACGGCCACCUCGGACUGGAAGGUGACGGUGCCCUCGCCAGCGCUGGGCAUGAUGGUGCCCUCCAGCAGAUCCUCCAUGCUGGAGUUGAGCUCGGCGGAGGCGUCCAGCCCGCGGAACUUGUCCUCCACCGGCGUGAAGACCGUGUCCUCGCUGGGGAUGAGCGUGGCGGCACCCGAGGGGCUGGAGGAGGACUCGGCGGCUCCAGAGCACGUGGCGGCGGCGGCAGCGGCGGCGGCCGCCAACGAGGAGUCCUGCAGGUCCAGCCUCAUGCCGCCUUUGCCCGCCAGAGGGCAGACGUGCUUGCUGCCGCCGGCCUCUGAGGGAGCCGGCCGAGAGGGCUUUGGUCUGUGGAUCUGGCUGGAGGGCAGGGGGCGCGACUGGGUGAACACGGCCGACGGGUCUUUCUCUGGGUCUUUACAGUUGGCGCCACCGCUGCUGCUGCUGCUGCCGCCACCACCACCACACGCUACUGGUGCCUUCUGCAGCGGGUACUUGCGCUGGGCACCGGGUGAGGCGCCGGCUGCUAGCUUGCUGGGCACAAAGCCUGGCGGGCCUCGGUGGGCAGUCUUGGGGCUCGAGGCGUCUGUGGGGAAGGCGGGCGUGCGAGGGGCAGAGGGGGAGGAGAGGAGCGGGGGAGGCUGAGGCUGAGGAUGAGACUGAGGCUGGGUGGAGGGAGACGGGGAGUUGAGACACUGGUUCUGCAGCCGACCUCUGGCCUGCACGGGGGGCUUUGGGUACUCCGCCGGGGGGCCUCCUGCCGACACGGCCGCCAGCCGCUCCGCCAGCACCUCCUCUUGGCCCGCCGCGGCUCCGGAGAGCUUAGCUGCACCUCCCUGCUGCUGCUGCUGCUGCUGCUGCUGCUGCUGCUGCUGCUGCUGCUGCUGCUGCGCCCGUCCUCUGUGCUUCCCGGUGCACAGCUGCACCGUGUGGGCGGGCGAGUUGCACUCCGUCACAUUCGGCGAGUUGUGCGGGGCGGCCGGGCCGUCGGCGUAGUGCGAUCCGCAUCCUGCCGCCGAGGCGGCGCCAAUCCCGCACGCGCCUCCUCCUCCUCCUCCUCCUCCUCCUCCUCCUCCUCCGCUCUCGGCCACAUGCAGCUCCUCCAGCCCCAGGUGGAUGGCGUCCAGGAUGUCCAUCUCCUCGGCGAUGGCCAGCAGGCGGCGGCGCAUGCGGGCGUAGUGGGUGGAGCUGGUGGCGCUGAGCAUGUCCAGGAGCUUGAGGAAGACGUGGGGCACGCGGGCCACCAUGCGGGCGGCGCUCAGGAAGACGCGGCGGGACAGCUUGCCCACCAUGGAGUGGGAGUUGUCGAUGGACUGCAGCGCGAAGCUCAGCAGCGGGAGCAGCUUCUGGUAUCUGCUUCGGGGAAGGAGGGCCGGAGUCGUCAACCAAACAAUCCUAUUCACGUUCGUGUUUAUAACAGCUGAUAUGUUAACACUAUUCACGUGCGUGUUUAAAACAGGUGAUAUUUUAACACUAUUCACGUUCGUGUUUAUAACAGCUGAUAUUUUAACACUAUUC
ensembl:lncRNA